UCUCAAAUUAUAUUCUAAAUUUAUAUUCUAAAUUUUGUUGAUGGCUAUGAUCCAUGGAUUCUUCAAAAUUAAGGAUGUAUUGUAUUGCACUCGUAUCUUUCAAAGAGUAUUUGAGCCAAGGGAAUUGGAGUUCUUGAUCCUUAUAUUAGACAAGGCAUAUACAAGGAAUGAAGUUCUGGAUAUGGAGAAGUUGAUGCUGAACACAUUGCACUUUAACAUGUCUGUUCCAACAGCAUAUGUUUUCAUUAGAAGGUUCCUAAAGGCAGCACAAGCAGACAGAAAGGUAGCAACAUGCUUGAUAAAAUUCAUAGUUAAAAACUCUCAUUUCUCUUAUUAUGAUGAUGAUCAUUGAUAUGAUUAAAAUUACGAACUUGUUAAUUGAUACUUACUUACGAGUUUAAUGGUUGGUUUCCACCAGAAGGCUGGGUCAGGGAAACUUAUAGGGGUGCAUCGGAAGUACCGUUCUUCAAAGCACAACUACACUGCAAAAUGUGAAGCAGCAAGUUUUCUUCUUGAUAACUCAUUGUUGUAGCAGCCACAUGUAUAGCUAGCUAUUAACAAAACAGCCACAACUACAAACUUGACUUUUACUUGGGUUGCAUAUUUGGGGAAUCAUAGAUUUUAUUUCUAGGAUCA